rnacentral:rRNA from 1 species
UGAGCCAGUACAGGAUGGACCCGCGUCUGAUUAGCUAGUUGGUAAGGUAACGGCUUACCAAGGCGACGAUCAGUAGCCGACCUGAGAGGGUGAUCGGCCACAUUGGAACUGAGACACGGUCCAAACUCCUACGGGAGGCAGCAGUGGGGAAUAUUGCACAAUGGGCGAAAGCCUGAUGCAGCAACGCCGCGUGAGUGAUGAAGGCCUCCGGGUCGUAAAACUCUGUCCUCAAGGAAGAUAAUGACGGUACUUGAGGAGGAAGCCCCGGCUAACUACGUGCCAGCAGCCGCGGUAAUACGUAGGGGGCUAGCGUUAUCCGGAUUUACUGGGCGUAAAGGGUGCGUAGGCGGUCUUUCAAGUCAGGAGUGAAAGGCUACGGCUCAACCGUAGUAAGCUCUUGAAACUGGGAGACUUGAGUGCAGGAGAGGAGAGUGGAAUUCCUAGUGUAGCGGUGAAAUGCGUAGAUAUUAGGAGGAACACCAGUUGCGAAGGCGGCUCUCUGGACUGUAACUGACGCUGAGGCACGAAAGCGUGGGGAGCAAACAGGAUUAGAUACCCUGGUAGUCCACGCUGUAAACGAUGAAUAGUAGGUGUCGGGGGUUACCCCCUUCGGUGCCGCA